rnacentral:rRNA from 1 species
UACGGAGGGGGCUAGCGUUGUUCGGAAUUACUGGGCGUAAAGCGCGCGUAGGCGGAUUGGAAAGUUGGGGGUGAAAUCCCGGGGCUCAACCUCGGAACUGCCUUCAAAACUCCCAGUCUUGAGUUCGAGAGAGGUGAGUGGAAUUCCGAGUGUAGAGGUGAAAUUCGUAGAUAUUCGGAGGAACACCAGUGGCGAAGGCGGCUCACUGGCUCGAUACUGACGCUGAGGUGCGAAAGCGUGGGGAGCAAACAGG